ACUGAACGCUGGCGGCAUGCCUUACACAUGCAAGUCGAACGGCAGCACGGGAGCAAUCCUGGUGGCGAGUGGCGAACGGGUGAGUAAAGUAUCGGAACGUGCCCAGUCGUGGGGGAUAACGUAGCGAAAGUUACGCUAAUACCGCAUACGAUCUAUGGAUGAAAGCGGGGGAUCGCAAGACCUCGCGCGAUUGGAGCGGCCGAUAUCAGAUGAGGUAGUUGGUGGGGUAAAGGCUCACCAAGCCGACGAUCUGUAGCUGGUCUGAGAGGACGACCAGCCACACUGGGACUGAGACACGGCCCAGACUCCUACGGGAGGCAGCAGUGGGGAAUUUUGGACAAUGGGCGAAAGCCUGAUCCAGCCAUGCCGCGUGCAGGAUGAAGGCCUUCGGGUUGUAAACUGCUUUUGUACGGAACGAAAAGGUUUGGCCUAAUAAGCUGAGCUCAUGACGGUACCGUAAGAAUAAGCACCGGCUAACUACGUGCCAGCCGCCGCAGUAA
rnacentral:rRNA from 1 species